GAGAUUAAAAGGCCAUCACGUUUCUCAGAUGCAGUGGAAGUCCAGUUUUAACAGGCAUAAAACAAUGACUCAUCCUAGGGACUUCAUGAAAAUGAAAAGAGCAAGCUCAAACUUCUGAUGCCUUGAAUAAGGAGUUCAGGAAAAACUCAGUAAAGCUGAGAACAGUCUCUGUCAUCACUGGAUACUGGAGCAGCAGAGAGCCAAUGCUUAUACUUUCAGAUUUGUUCAAAUGUUAAA
rnacentral:lncRNA from 1 species